AUCUUCGGCAAUGGGCGCAAGCCUGACCGAGCGACGCCGCGUGGAGGAUGAAGGCCCUUGGGUUGUAAACUCCUGUCAGAGGGGAUGAAGUGCAUGGGAGUUAUCUCUCAUGUUUGACAUAGCCUCAGAGGAAGCACGGGCUAAGUUCGUGCCAGCAGCCGCGGUAAUACGAACUGUGCAAACGUUAUUCGGAAUCACUGGGCUUAAAGGGUGCGUAGGCGGCUUGUUAAGUAGGGUGUGAAAGCCCCCGGCUCAACCGGGGAACAGCGCUCUAAACUGGCGAGCUGGAGUGAGAUAGGGGUGUGUGGAACUUCCGGUGGAGCGGUGAAAUGUGUUGAUAUCGGAAGGAACGCCGGUGGCGAAAGCGACACACUGGGUCUCAACUGACGCUGAGGCACGAAAGCCAGGGGAGCGAACGGGAUUAGAUACCCCGGUAGUCCUGGCUGUAAACGAUGAACACUAGUAGGGAGGAACGUAGUUCUUCCCUCCGGAGCUAAAGUGUUAAGUGUUCCGCCUGGGGAGUAUGGUCGCAAGGCUGAAACUCAAAGGAA
rnacentral:rRNA from 1 species